rnacentral:rRNA from 1 species
CGGACGGGUGAGUAAUGCCUAGGAAUCUGCCUGGUAUGGGGGACAACGUUUCGAAAGGAACGCUAAUACCGCAUACGCCUACGGGAGAAAGCAGGGGACCUUCGGGCCUUGCGCUAUCAGAUGAGCCUAGGUCGGAUUAGCUAGUUGGUGAGGUAAUGGCUCACCAAGGCGACGAUCCGUAACUGGUCUGAGAGGAUGAUCAGUCACACUGUAACUGAGACACGGUCCAGACUCCUACGGGAGGCAGCAGGA